AGAGUUUGAUUCUGGCUCAGGAUGAACGCUGGCGGCGUGCCUAACACAUGCAAGUCGAGCGAUUCACUUCGGUGAAGAGCGGCGGACGGGUGAGUAACGCGUGGGUAACCUGCCUCAUACACAUGGAUAACAUACCGAAAGGUAUGCUAAUACAGGAUGAUAUAAGAGAUUCGCAUGGAUUUCUUAUCAAAGCUCCGGCGGUAUGAGAUGGACCCGCGUCUGAUUAGCUAGUUGGUAAGGUAAUGGCUUACCAAGGCGACGAUCAGUAGCCGACCUGAGAGGGUGAUCGGCCACAUUGGAACUGAGACACGGUCCAAACUCCUACGGGAGGCAGCAGUGGGGAAUAUUGCACAAUGGGCGAAAGCCUGAUGCCAGCAACGCCGCGUGAGUGAUGAAGGCCUUCGGGUCGUAAAACUCUGUCCUCAAGGAAGAUAAUGACGGUACUUGAGGAGGAAGCCCCGGCUAACUACGUGCCAGCAGCCGC
rnacentral:rRNA from 1 species